UUGGGUUUAUAAAGGCAGAAGCCACAGAGUAAACUGUCAGGGAUCACAUAAGUGAGAAGUUACAGAAGCCAAACAAGCAAUUGGUUAAUCCUGCUUUUGGGACCAGAUAAGGAUCAUGAAAUAGAUUGGGCGGAUAUCCUUCCUGGCAGGUUUUCUAAGGCAGGAACUCCAAAGGCGGGAACUUCUAAGGUGGGAACUCCUACUUCCGUGAAGGAGGGCAUACAAGAUGGAGGUCAGAAACCAAAAUGGAGUUCUGUACAUGGAUUCAUUCUGUGUUCCAGCCACGUUGGAAGACAAACUGUAAUAGAGAAGACUUUUGCUAAGAGGAAGAA